AGACUGUGGUGUGGACUGCAUCUCAACAAGUCCUUAUACCUCUCCCAGGCGUCAUACAUGCUCUCGUCGUCCAUCUGCACAAAAGAAGAAAUGUCAUUUCUUAAUAU
rnacentral:snoRNA from 1 species